GAUGAACGCUGGCGGCGUGCCUAAUACAUGCAAGUCGAGCGAACGGACGAGGAGCUUGCUCCUUUGACGUUAGCGGCGGACGGGUGAGUAACACGUGGAUAACCUACCUAUAAGACUGGGAUAACUUCGGGAAACCGGAGCUAAUACCGGAUAAUAUAUUGAACCGCAUGGUUCAAUAGUGAAAGACGGUUUCGCUGUCACUUAUAGAUGGAUCCGCGCCGCAUUAGCUAGUUGGUAAGGUAACGGCUUACCAAGGCAACGAUGCGUAGCCGACCUGAGAGGGUGAUCGGCCACACUGGAACUGAGACACGGUCCAGACUCCUACGGGAGGCAGCAGUAGGGAAUCUUCCGCAAUGGGCGAAAGCCUGACGGAGCAACGCCGCGUGAGUGAUGAAGGUCUUCGGAUCGUAAAACUCUGUUAUUAGGGAAGAACAAAUGUGUAAGUAACUAUGCACGUCUUGACGGUACCUAAUCAGAAAGCCACGGCUAACUACGUG
rnacentral:rRNA from 1 species